ACUGAAGAGAGAGUAUCUGUGGAGAGGAGAACUUGGCAGUGCAGGAGAAAGGGGUUAAACGAUGGAGUGAGGUCACUGAGGAAGUGGGAAGGAAUGUGUCCCAAGAGGGAGGCAUCAGCCUUGGGCCCUAGGAGGACACCUCCCCUGUAACGACAGCCUAUGGUUGUUUCUAGGAGCUGGAGAUGUUGUUGCUGUUGGGAGUAAAGGGGUUGAAAGAAUUCUUGCCUCUUUUCUCCAUAAAAUAGGAGCAGUGAUCAUCUCAUAAAGACUGAUCAUAUCAGUUUGCGGCCUGGAAUUAUAAACGGAAGCCCCCAGAACUCCAAUCUGAAGUCUCACCCGUGGGGUGUAUGAACCGCCCGGGACCCUUCCCAACUGGGGCUCCAGAUCGCUGUCACUUGGGACUUCCCAGCUGUUACUUGGAUCUGGAAGUAGAUCUAGAGGCUCCAUUAGAUUCUGGCUGGUGAUGAUGACGAUGAUGAUGGUGAUGAUUUUGGCAAGAAUACUGCAAAGGUAAUCAUGGAGAUUUGAACAUAAAUUGGGAAUUAGAUGAUGUGAAGAAAUUAUUGCUAGGGACUUCCCUCGUGGUCCAGUGGUUAAGAAUCCACCUUCCAGUGCAGGGGACGCGGGUUCAUUACCUAGUUGGGGAACUAGAUCCCACAUGCCGCAGGGUAACUAAGCCCACACACCGCAAAUACUGAGCAUGCACACCACAACUAGAGAGAAGCCCGCGCACCGCAACGAAAGAUCCCGCAUGCCGCAAGGAAGAUCCCAUGUGCCGCCACUAAGACCCGACGCAGCCAAAAAUAAAUAAAUAUUUUUUUUAAAAAUAAGAGAGCUUCCCUGGUGGCGCAGUGGUUAGGAAUCCACCUGCCAACGCAGGGGACACGGGUUUGAGUCCUGGUCGGGGAAGAACCCACAUACUGCGGAGCAACUGGGCCCGUGCGCCACAACUACUGAAGCCCCCACGCCUGGAGCCCGUGCUCCACAACAAGAGAAGCCACAGCUGAGAAGCCCGCGCACCGCAACGAAGAGUGGCCCCCGCUCGCCACAACCAGAGGAGGCCCACGUGCAGCAACAAACACACAACGCAGCCAAAAAAAACAAAUAUUAAAAAAUUUAAAAAAAAAGAAAUUAUUGCUAAACAUUUUAGGUAUAAUUAUGUAUUACAUAGUGGUAUUGUGCUUGGGUAAAAUAAAAAUCCUUAUCUGACAUACAAUAACAUGGAUUAAUUUCAAAACAUUAUGCUGAGUGGAAAAAGACAGACCCAUACUGUAUGAUUUCAUUUGUAUGGAACAUUCUAGAGCAGGCAAAACUAAUCUAUACUGACAGAAAGCAGGUCAGUGGUUGCCGGGGUCUGAGGGUGGAAACUGAUUGUAGAAGGGUGUGAACUUUUAGGAGUGAUGGAAAUAUUUUAUAUCUUGAUUAUGGUGGUAAUUACUUGGGUAUAUACAUUUGUCCAAACUAAUUGAACCAUGCACUUAAAUUGAGUGUGCUAUAUUGUAUGGGAAUAAAGAUGUAUUUUAUUGUAUGUAAAUAAAGUUGAUUU